AGUAUAAACCCACCAUCAAAUUGCAUUAUUUAUCGCUAUUAGAAUUAUGUAUUUAUACUCCAGCCUACUUCUUUUCAAUGCUGCAAGAAAAUGAACAUUGUUUCUGAGAGUAAUCACAAACUGAUAUGAUUGAAAAAUAUCUCACUUUUAACCAGGCUUAAAGGGAGAACUCUGUUUAUGCCUGUCCUGUAACUGUUCAGUCACAAUUUCUACAUCCCACCUUUGGCUGACAGAGUUCAGUGCUACACUACAGUCAUUCAGGGUAAGGUAGCAUGUGUUUCUCAAAGAUAAAUAUCCAGUUACAUAGAUUGAUUCACCAUACACUAACCCGGCUUUUGAAAUUAAAUUAAGUUAAAAAAAAAGUCGCAGUCCUCUUUCUUAAGAAACAUAAUGACUAUCAGAAGUAAACAUUAUUUCAUUAUCAUUAUUUUGGCAAUGCAAACACAAAAAGUGCAUAUUUAUUUACUUAUGUAUGAUUUACACAUCAUACAUAUGAUGCAUGUGAUCAUAUGAUACGAUGUUUCAUUUUGAUAGCAUUAAUGGUUCAACAAUAUGUUGCCAAGUAUGUUUCAUUUCUUUCUAGAGCUGGUCAUCUCCAUGGUUACAGGCUUCCAUCCACGCUGAUAUGUUGUGUUUGCUCUUAUUUUGAUGGCACCGUGCUUUGCUUCCGGUUAUAAUCCAGCAGUUCUAGGUCAGCUUGAUUCCGCUGGACUGAUGGACUUGCACACUGCAGUAUGAUUAGCUCCAACGGCCAAAAAUACACAGAGCAGCGCCGCUUCACCGGCAGCCAACGAGGGCAGCAGCCCGCUGGGGAGCUCACACCCACUUUCAUUAUAUGGGGCAACUUAGAAAAGAGGAAGUGCACAGAUUUCGAGCAAAGGCGCCUGAAACUGAGGGCCAACAUUAAACUCCAGAUGCUCAUCCAUUAACAAAACUCUACAGGCUCUAUGAUAUAAUGUAUUCAUAGUUAUCAGUUUAAUUCUGUUACAGACUUCUGAGAAUUGUGUUAGUCUUUAAAAAAAAAAAAAAGAACAGUUUUGUAAAUAUAAGCAAACGAAAGUUCAGCAAUGUUUCCACGCUUUUGCAACUGUUGGGGUAUUCUCUUUUCACCUAUUUUAUCUGUUUGUCAGAGUUUUCCUUAAGGCAGUUCUACUUCUGCCAUAUCAGUGUUUGAAAUGGAAGUUGUAACUGCUCAGUACCAGCUGUCCACCUGGAGCCAAAACAACCAGCAAUGAGUGAAAUACCCAUCGUGAAAUUAUUUAUUCGUCAAAUGGCAGAUUCCGCACAAAAACAUUUGGAGUCGCAUCCCAUGCCUUGUAUACUUUGAGACUUGUAAGUUCGACGACGACCCUUGAAACUUUUCAAAGCCCCACAGACUCUUUUUCCAAAUGAUGGCUGGCAUUCUUAACCUUCAUCUCUGCUGACCUCUUGUGGAAAAAAGCAGUGGUGCAGACAGAGAGGAGGAGGAGUUUCCCAGACAGCACCAUCGAUUGUAUGUUCUUUUUGUAGUUUAGGUGCACUCACCACGCCUGCUUCAUGGAUGCCACCAAACAGUGUUGUCUUUCGGACUUUAGUCAUACAGAGAGUCUGUAAGAGAUAAAAAAAAAAAAAAGUGAUCCGUUUAUGCUGACCACCUGCUUGACUUCCACAAGAGGCAAGAUGACCUGUGUUUGACAGGAUGGACUCUGAUCCUGGACGAGCAAUAUUGAAAUUUGGCGAGUACUGCUUUAUCCAUCCAUCCAUUCAUCAGUUUUCUAUCCGUUAUCCAGGAGGGUAAGCAGGGGUGCCAAGACCUUCCUGUCUUCGGCUUUCCCUGGGGGUAUUAUCCCCGAAUGGCUUUACAAACCAGGGAGCGUGUAUAAUACAUACAUAUAAAUACAAACGUACAUACUGUAUCCAGCAGCGUGUCUCUGUUUGUGUCCCAAGCCUGAAAAACCUGACCAGGGAUUGGGAGGCGUCCACAAGGUAUCCUAUACAGGUAGCCGAAGCAUCUCAACUGACUUAUUUACUCCGAGUUGAAUGAGCUCCUUACCUAAGAUCAUACAACCAGACACCCAGCAGCAGAAGAACCUCAUUUCUGCUGCUUAUCCUCACGGCCUGCUUUAAUGCAAGCAACCUGUGGGCAGGUUUGAAGUGGAACGGUCAAGGUGAGAUACUGGAUGACGUAGUGAAAAGUGUGAAAAGUGUCCGCCCUUUGUGGGUGCUGGAGCUUAGAAUGCACUGUGGCUACAGCUCUGGCCGUCUGCUUCGUCUGCUGCCCCAUGGAGGCGGACUGAUCACAGUGGUGCUGGACCCAGUCACAGCAGAUCUUGGAGAGGAAAUCAUCCUGGUGACUAGCUUCAAGCAAUCCCAGUUCCAGGUUUUUACACAGCUCAGCUGAGGCCAUCCCAACAUUAAAUUCUUUCCUUGAGUCUGAGGGUACCAGUGAUGGCAUAAAUCUGGUGCUAAUGGACCAUGAUUCCCAGCAGUACCUUUUAGAUCUGUUGGCCUUGGAGAGAGAGGAGCUCCUCUGCCCAUCUGGCUGCACUGUGUUGUUGAAUAGAGGAAUCAAAGAGCCGAUGAUCUCAGAGGAGUCCUGGAUCACACCAGAGGAAGAGUCGAUUCCUACUGCAUCAAAACAGAGCAUCCAUUUAUGAUGGAGAUUUUUUACAGGAAGGGAAGUACAAAGGAAGUCUGCAAUGGCAAAGUUUAGCUAAGAUGUGGGUGUAUUUUGGGGGUGUUAAAUAUUUCAUAAUCUCUAGUAUGACUCAUAAGGCAAAGAACUGCAAUUUUGAGAAAAUUUUAUUAUAAAUAAAAAAGUGAUAUUAAUCAUCCUAUAAGUCUGUCUGUUCUCAGUAUUUCAAAGUCUCCAAAGAUAUUACAGUUUCCUUUGUGGCAGAAAUAAGAAGCAUUUAUUAUAUACUUUAAAUAUGAUCUACUUUACUUAAGCUUAUUACUUCUCUGCAUUUAUUUCUUUUCCACAUCAUAGCCCCCAAAAGACAAAUGACUACCUCCUAUUGUUUAGCACAUCCCUAAAAAAUUCUUAAAUGG